AUUGAACGCUGGCGGCAGGCUUAACACAUGCAAGUCGAGCGGAUGACGGGAGCUUGCUCCUUGAUUCAGCGGCGGACGGGUGAGUAAUGCCUAGGAAUCUGCCUGGUAGUGGGGGACAACGUUUCGAAAGGAACGCUAAUACCGCAUACGUCCUACGGGAGAAAGCAGGGGACCUGCGGGCCUUGCGCUAUCAGAUGAGCCUAGGUCGGAUUAGCUAGUAGGUGAGGUAAUGGCUCACCUAGGCGACGAUCCGUAACUGGUCUGAGAGGUAUGAUCAGUCACACUGGAACUGAGACACGGUCCAGACUCCUACGGGAGGCAGCAGUGGGGAAUAUUGGACAAUGGGCGAAAGCCUGAUCCAGCCAUGCCGCGUGUGUGAAGAAGGUCUUCGGAUUGUAAAGCACUUUAAGUUGGGAGGAAGGGCAGUAAGUUAAUACCUUGCUGUUUUGACGUUACCGACAGAAUAAGCACCGGCUAACUCUGUGCCAGCAGCCGCCGUAA
rnacentral:rRNA from 1 species